UCCUUUCUCCUGCUCACCCCUCCUUGCACCACCUGCGCAUGUCCAGCUUAGGGAGCCCCAUGGUGGCAGGUGGCCCAGAGAGAAAUGUAACUACCAUGGGACAGUCCUGUCUAUGGCCAGAAAGAGAGUUUCUAGCACCUGCAGCUUUAUUUAUUUUGUACUGCCUAGGCCUGUUCUAGGGAAUACUUCUGCCUUAAAACAGGAGACAGUCUGCCCUGUAAUUACUUAAUUUUGUUGAAUGAGUCUGACAAAUCCAAGUUAGAGUUUCCUUUUAAUUAGGGCUCAAGGAACAAGGCAGACUAAGGGAAUGGGCUGAGAUCCGAGUGAGACCUGGGUUGGCAAAUGAGAUCUUGGCCACACCUUUUGUUCUCUUUUGAGAACAAAAUGCUUGAACUUCCUAAUGUGCAAAAUGAGGACAGCUGGCCUACUAAAUAGCCUUCUAUUCUAUACUUUAACAGUAAUGGCAGGUGGCCAGGGGUGGUUCUGAGUGUAGGAGUGGACAUGAUUAUCUCUGUGCAGUAAGAAACGUCACAACACUAUUAAAAGUAGAUGAAAGGAGGGAGAGGCCGAAGACAGAACAUUUAAGGAAUGCUUGCAUGGUUCCAGACCAUGUUUUCAAUUACUAUUGCCUCUGAUUUUUUUUCCACCAGAGCCCCCUGCCCCUGAACCAAUAUCCUUCUGACCACAAAUCUUUGCUUUUUAUUUUUUUAUUUUUAUAUUUUAGAGACAGGUUCUUGCUCUGUCACCUAGGUUGGAGUGCAGUGGCACAAUCAUAGGUCACUGUAACCUCAAACUUCUUGGCUCAAGAAAUGCCCCUGCCUCAGCUGGGAGUACAGGUGCACACCACCAUGCCUGGCUCAUCCUUGCUUUUAAAUUCCUGUCAGUUAUGGGUUGAACUCUGUACUUUCCGCUCCCAUCAUCAAAGAUAUGUUGCAUUUCUAACCCCAAGUAUCUCAGAAUGUGACUUUUUUUGGCGAUAGAGUCUUUACAGUGGUAACCAAGUUAAAAUGAGAUCAAGAGGGUGUGCCCUAAUUCAAUAUGACUGGUAAACCUGCCAAAGGGAGAAAUCUGGACACAGAGACAGACAAGCAUGUAGGAAGAACACCAUUUGAUGAUGAAGGUAGAGAUGAUGAUGCUUCUAUAAACCAAGGAAUGCCAAAGCUUGCCGGCAAACCACCAGAAGCUAGAAGGGAGACAUGAAACAGAUGCUGUCUCAGCCCUAGGAAAAAAAAAAACAACCCUAUUGACUCCUUGAUCUCAGAGUUGGAGCUUCCAGAACUGUGUGACAAUACAUCUCUGUUUUUCAAGCACUCAGUUUUGCUGCUUUGCUAUAGCAUCCCUCACAGACAGAUAUACUGCCUUUCCAAUCUUCUGGCUUCAGACCUCUGGCUUGUUGUGACCAGCAGCAUUUAUUAAUUUUCUGAUCCCAACUUGAUUUCUUUUUAAUCUCCCUGAAAGGCAUUUGUUUUUGUAUUGUGAAACUUAGACUCUGCUUUCUACCUGGCUCUUUCUUGAGACUAUCCCUAUAUUUUGUGUGUAGCUCUCCACUUAGUCUCUGCUGUGUGUGAUGUGGGGAGAAGAAGAUGGGACUCCUACAGGUGGGGCAGCCGGACCAGCCUCUGUGAUUUUGUGUUCACUCUGUGCUGCUGCCUAUGGUCUCUCAGAAGCUAAACCCCCUGCCAUGGUUUUAACAUCUGAGUAACAUUUAAAGAUGAACUAGAUAAAAAGGCUAGAGAUUUGAAGCCUCUUUGAUUAUUUUUUAUAUUCAUUGGUCUAUCCCAAAUGCAUCUACUCCAAAGUUUGAUUCCUCUUCGGGCACUCAUGGACAUAAAGAUGGCAAUAAUAGACACUGGGGCCACUAAAGUGGGGGAGGGAGGGAGGUGGGCGAGGGUUGAAAAACUAACUAUUGGGUACUAUGCUCACUACCUGGGUGACAGAAUCAAUCAUACCCCAAAUCUCAGCAUCAUGCAAUAUACCCAGGUAAUAAAUCUACACAUGUACCCCCUGAAUCUAAAAUAAAAGUUGAAAUUAUUAAAAAAAAAACACACACAAAGUAUGGUUCUAAAGUUGGGGGUUGAGUUAUAAGCAAGUGAAACACAGUUUAAAUAAUGCGACAACUUUGAACAAUAUUAAAUUCUCAAAUGGUCUAAAGUACACACAAAAAUAUAAGAGCCCAAAGAGACUAUAUCAUCUGUUCACAAAGGUAGUUUCUUAUGAUUAAAUUCCCUUGUGGUAUUCCAAUAUACACUCUCUGAUUAAACUUCUUAUUUAAUAUGACACUGGAAUUUUAUCAUAAGUAUGAAAUAUAUUGCUUUGAUCCUUUCUGGCCAACCUUGUUUUACUAAAUUAAGUCAAAGGUGGCACCCUUUGCUAUCAAUCAACAGACGUGCCUUGAUCUUGCGCUGGUCCCAUAAGCUCUAUGCUGGAAAUAUAAACACGGCCUCUGUCCUGUGUGAGGCUUCCACAUAGUUGAAAAGACAAGGCACUCAGGUCUAAGCACUUAGAGAACAAUUCAAUGCUAAAUGGUGUUGAACUGGCUUUGAUGCUAGAAACCACAUUUUCCCUCUAAAUUAUGGUACCAAAGGGUCCCUGUGCACAGGUUGGGGGGUAAUAAAGGUGGACUUCAGGAGGGCUUGAAGGACUGUGGUUGAUAUUUUGGCCCAUCUGGGCUCAUAUCGAAUUUUGAAAUGUGCCUGGAUUUUUCUGCAGUUUACUCUCAUGGGGUAAAGUGUGGAUGAUAUAAGUUACUGGGGGUGGGGAGUUGUCAGAGUGAAUAGAGCUUGGGGGACUCUCAAGUGAAAACUCCCUUGAAUCAUGGGGGCAAGGGUAGUACAAUUUGCUUCCUCCAAGUGUAAACUAUGAUUACCAAAUCUCAAGGGUGCUGGAUUAUAUGUAGCUUUAAAAUAAGUCUUGCAGGUUGCAGCUACUACUGAUUCAGAGACAGUGAAGUCAGAUAACAGCAAUUGAAGGCUUAGAUCAGGUUGAACGAUCUUUGCAAUUCUCCAACUCCUUCUUAGUCAUGAUCCAUUCAAAAACUAUGGGCUCUCCAAGGCCAGGCUGCAGCCAGGAGAAAGGACAGUGACCAUGUGAACACUUAAGUCCCUGGAAAAAUGCUUUCGGGAAGAAAACAAAUGUAGUCAAAUAUCCAAGUGGUUUUUAUUGCUACCAGGAACAAUAAUAGAGAAAUAUGAACUUGGGAAACCUUUUGUUCUUGCUGAGGUUUGAAUAUUCCCAUGUUGGUGGCAGAGAUCCUGUGUCAUGGUAAAAAAANNNNNNNNNNNNNNNNNNNNNNNNNNNNNNNNNNNNNNNNNNNNNNNNNNNNNNNNNNNNUUGCUUCUGAGAUCUCCAACCAAAAGAGAGGGAACAUUCUAGAUUCAAGCAUCACCUUGAAUGCAUGGCCUUAGAAGACAAUGGAAAACUUCAGUGUAGAGAGAACGUUUUCUCCAGUCAUUUAUGCUCCCCUGAAAUUAAAUUUGAGUGAGUCUGGGUUAUUGAAAAGUUGAGCUGCUUGGCAGACAUUUCUGUGAAUGAUGUAGCCAAAACAUAUUACUGAGCCCUUCAUUGACCCUGAAAAUGUGAUUUUUAACAGUUAAGGCAGGAAAAAAUUAUCAGAGCUAGUUUAAAAGGAGGAAUAUGAAAGUGAUAUUUUUGAAGUCUCAGAACCUAAAUAUAAAGGCAAAGCAGACAGAAUAGAAAAAAAGCAUGGCAAUUGUUUCAUAAAGUGUCAUAUUUGGGGCAUUAAGGGCCUGGCUUUUGGGUAAUCAGGGUUAAAAUGUUCAAGUUUUGGCAGGGAAGGGAGUAGACACAUUAGACAUGUAAAUCACACCCAGCCACCCA
rnacentral:lncRNA from 1 species